rnacentral:rRNA from 1 species
GAGGUGCCUUUGUAGCAAUACGGAGGUAUCCUAGUGGCGAACGGGUGAGUAACGCGUUGGUGACCUGCCCCGAAGUUUGGGAUAACCCCGCGAAAGCGGGGCUAAUACCGAAUGUGGUCAUCGGCUUUAGAAACCGAUGUCUAAAGGAUUUAUUCGCUUCGGGAGGGGCCUGCGUCCCAUCAGCUAGUUGGUAGGGUAACGGCCUACCAAGGCUACGACGGGUAGGGGACCUCAGAGGGUGGCCCCCCACAAUGGAACUGAAACACGGUCCAUACACCUACGGGUGGCAGCAGUAGGGAAUAUUGCACAAUGGGCGAAAGCCUGAUGCAGCAACGCCGCGUGCGCGAAGAAGGCCUUCGGGUCGUAAAGCGCUUUUCUGGGAGAUGAGAAAGGACAGUAUCCCAGGAAUAAGUCUCGGCUAACUACGUGCCAGCAGCCGCGGUAAAACGUAGGAGGCGAGCGUUAUCCGGAUUCACUGGGCGUAAAGCGCGUGCAGGCGGUUUGGUAAGUUGGGCGUGAAAGCUCCCGGCUCAACUGGGAGAGGUCGUCCAAAACUACCAGACUAGAGAGCGAUAGAGGAAAAUGGAAUUCCCGGUGUAGUGGUGAAAUGCGUAGAUAUCGGGAGGAACACCAGUGGCGAAGGCGAUUUUCUGGAUCGUUUCUGACGCUCAGACGCGAAAGCUAGGGUAGCAAACGGGAUUAGAGACCCCGGUAGUCCUAGCUGUAAACGAUGUGAACUUGGCGUUGGUGGCUUAAACACCAUCAGUGCCGUAGCUAACGCGAUAAGUUCACCGCCUGGGG